AGUGGGCGUGGUCUUCGGAAUACCUGCACAAGAGCGGUUAAAGGCUGGUGAUUGGCGCGCAGACGACCAGCUGCUGACCGGUCAUGGAGUCGUCCUUCAUGUGUGAUGUGUGCUGCAGGCUUUAAGGACCUGACAAGGCUCAGAGAGGUAAAGUGGACCAGUGGCCACCAGGGGGCACCUCUGCACUGGUACAGCAACCCCCUCAUGUCAGAGUUCACCGAGUCCGAGGCCAAGUGGUGAGUUGUGUUGAUGGCCAGCUGGCAUGGUGGCAGUGUGGGCAGUGAGAAGCGCUACACUCGCCACUCCGAAUGGCACACAGAGAAAUGCCAUCUGUCUCAGUGGGGUGGUGGGGUUUUGUUCCUUUUUAAGUGUACUUUAUGUUGGCCCGCUCUACACUUCCUCCAAUAAGAUUUAAACCUACAUCUUUUACUGUUUUUCAUUUUAAGAUUAUUUUGACCUUUUUACUCAGAGUCACCGUUAAGCUUUUUAGGUGCGUUUGCACGGACUCCGACAUGUUGACAAUAGUAGGUGCGUUUUCAGUCUGUCCGCAUCUGUCAGUGUGCCAGUCUGUCACACACACACAACGUAAAGGCUCUGGUGCUGGUAAUUCCUCACCAGUCCACAGGGUGGCGCUCUACUCUUCUCUUCCUCCCUCUAUAGACUGGAUGAUUGACAACCUCACCCACCUCUGAUGUCACUUCUGGUGUUCAUCUCCCUGGAGCCACCGUAUCCUGCCUGGCUGGCAUUUAACCAGACGUGACGCCAUCUUGGAUGUGAGACUCGCGUCCUCAGUGAUGUAUUUAUUUUUUUUUUGCUUCAUUUAUAAAAUACAGGGUCACGGCGUCUCCCCAACUCUUUUAUCUUUGUCCUCUUUUACGAUCGAAAUCUGUUUGGAACUUUUUGUUUUUGUUGAGUAGAACAAACUGCAAGUAUUUUUAUAGUUUCAAUAACUCCUGUUGUAAAGCUUUAGAAAACUGGCAGCUCACUUGUCCUAAAACCGAGAAGCAUUUUGUGUGACUUCAAUUCUGGGUUAGUUUGCUUUCGCAGAGUCAAUGGAGGCUCUGAUUGGGGCUCUCGAGAGACUGAGUGAGGGGUCUUGCGACGGUCCUGAUAAACACCAAAGAUCCAGGACUUUAAUGACCUCGUGGGCCAUCAGCAGUUAAUUAAUUAACCAAUCAGUCAAUCAAUCGCUGCUCCAGAUGCCAAAAACAGAUCAUGAGAGAGGAGCGCAGCCAGCAGCAGUUUGUACCUGAAUGUGCUACGAGCUCUGCCACCCCAAGUCACUUCUUCUGGCAGCCCAGGUCGGGCAAAGGAUCUUUGUGAUGGCAAAAGUGGAAAAUGCAAACAUGGAAAGGAAAAAAAAUAUGACUUAGUGUAAGUUAUCUGGGAAUUCUUGAAAUCAGAAAGGAGCUCCGUAAGCCUGGCUCUGCAAGCACCGAGUGAAUAAACGUGGACUCCGUAUUUGCUCUUAAAAGCCGCCUUAUCGGCAGAUUGUAAUAAUUCAAUAUUUCAUUAACAUUAUAAUAUCUUGGCAAAGCGCCACAAUGACUUGCUAUCCAUCAUAGGCCUUUGCAGCCAACAUCCCGAGUACGAGGGGCAGCAGUGAGUCUUCUCAGCAGGAUCGCUGGGUUGGCACUCCUUGGUAGGCUGAGAAGCUCAGCAAUUUGGGAGAGGCUCGGAAUAGAGACAGACUGGGCAUGACAGAAGGGUGCCUCCCUGGACUGUGCCCACUCUAGUCACACUGGGCAGAGAGACACGCUGGAGCAAUCCUAGCUCUGGAAUCAGAGGCAGGGCACAGGACGACUGGGCGACAGGAACCUGACAAUUAAUAAAGGAGAACCAGCUGGCGAUGUCAUGUUGGCAUGAGCCGCGUUACAAUCUGGUGCCAGUGAAAGCCUUUUAAGUCCACAUUAGCCUUUUUUGCACUGGGGGGCUUCACUCCCUCCUCGCCAACCCCCGUGUUUGUUUUUCCGGAUACACACUUUUUAGA